AAUAGAUACAUAUAGUAUAUUUUAAAUGCAAUCUUUGAGUUUUUCAAAAACAUUUUAUCGGGUAUCUAAGAGCAUGCCCAUUGGUCAUUGCUAAUAUCCAUAGGGUAUUUCAGCAAUUUUUUUCAAAAAAUAAAAUAUGAUAGAAACACAGGAGAAUAUAUCAUUUCAGAUACGGGGUUUUUGCCAAAACUAACCCACAACUUGAUUUUAAUCCCAAACC
rnacentral:lncRNA from 1 species